rnacentral:rRNA from 1 species
UCCUAAAGACUAAGCCAUGCAUGCCUAAGAAUAAGAGGAAGCAAUUCUCUCUGAAUCUGCGAACGGCUCCGCAAACCAGUUGUAAACUACAGCAAGCAAGCACGGGGGGUUGGCCUUCACGGGUUGGCCCCUCGGGCGAUAUGGAUAACCCUGGUAAUUCUGAGGCUAAUACAAGAACGUAACCCCUGGUUGACUGAGCCCUCGCUUUCGGGUGGGGAUACUUGGGAGGCUGGGAAGCGUGCGAGUACUAAUGCGAAUGAGAACCGGGAAUGGGCGCACGCUUGGACCGCGCUACAAAGGAUCAUUACUCGGCAAUCCCCUCUGGGGUGCGCUUUGUUUUGGCCCCAGCGGCUCUUGCGGUGUGCUUCUGACCUAUCAACUAGACGGCAGCGUAAUGGACAUGCUAUGGUUACAACGGGUACAGAGGAUUAGGGUUCGAUCCUGGAGAGUGGGCCUGAGAGAUUGCUCAUACUUCUAAGGAAGGCAGCAGGCGCGCAACGUUCCCCUUGGGCAAUGCUCGAGGGCGUUAGGGGACAUAUGGGUGUCUGCCCAAUGGGUGGACAAUUCAAAUGGGUUUGUUCUAAACAGCCUUUCGAGUAACAAUUAGAGGACAA